AGAAAAAAGAUAAAGAAAAAGAAAAGGAAGGGGGAAAAAAGGAGUUUGUGUUUUUUGAGGAUCAAAUUUGUGUGGUUUUGUUUUGUGGAUGAAAUGCAGGGGUAGCCAUCAAGAACACAAGAUAUUUCUCUCUUGUCUUCUUUUCUGGUACACAACCUUGGCCAAGUAAACUUUUUGGCUUCCUAUCAACGACAAAAACUACAACUGUACAAGGCAUUUGGGUUUAUGACAGGUGUCGAAUUGGGUAGUGUACGCUGAAAUUCCACGUCAGAUAGCUGACUUGGGAGCAUAGCACUUGAGAAAGACUUACAUGGGUGAC
rnacentral:lncRNA from 1 species